CCUACGGGUGGCAGCAGUGGGGAAUAUUGGACAAUGGGGGCAACCCUGAUCCAGCCAUGCCGCGUGUGUGAAGAAGGCCCUCGGGUUGUAAAGCACUUUCAGUGAGGAAGAACGCCUGGGGGUGAAUACCCAUCAGGAAAGACAUCACUCACAGAAGAAGCACCGGCUAACUCCGUGCCAGCAGCCGCGGUAAUACGGAGGGUGCGAGCGUUAAUCGGAAUUACUGGGCGUAAAGCGCGCGUAGGUGGCUUGAUAAGCCGGUUGUGAAAGCCCCGGGCUCAACCUGGGAACGGCAUCCGGAACUGUCAAGCUAGAGUGCAGGAGAGGAAGGUAGAAUUCCCGGUGUAGCGGUGAAAUGCGUAGAGAUCGGGAGGAAUACCAGUGGCGAAGGCGGCCUUCUGGACUGACACUGACACUGAGGUGCGAAAGCGUGGGUAGCAAACAGGAUUAGAUACCCGUGUAGUC
rnacentral:rRNA from 1 species